GUAGGGAAUCUUCGGCAAUGGACGGAAGUCUGACCGAGCAACGCCGCGUGAGUGAAGAAGGUUUUCGGAUCGUAAAGCUCUGUUGUAAGAGAAGAAUGAGUGUGAGAGUGGAAAGUUCACACUGUGACGGUUUCUUACCAGAAAGGGACGGCUAACUACGUGCCAGCAGCCGCGGUAAUACGUAGGUCCCGAGCGUUGUCCGGAUUUAUUGGGCGUAAAGCGAGCGCAGGCGGUUAGAUAAGUCUGAAGUUAAAGGCUGUGGCUUAACCAUAGUACGCUUUGGAAACUGUUUAACUUGAGUGCAAGAGGGGAGAGUGGAAUUCCAUGUGUAGCGGUGAAAUGCGUAGAUAUAUGGAGGAACACCGGUGGCGAAAGCGGCUCUCUGGCUUGUAACUGACGCUGAGGCUCGAAAGCGUGGGGAGCAAACAGGAUUAGAUACCCUGGUAGUCCACGCCGUAAACGAUGAGUGCUAGGUGUUAGACCCUUUCCGGGGUUUAGUGCCGCAGCUAACGCAUUAAGCACUCCGCCUGGGGAGUACGACCGCAAGGUUG
rnacentral:rRNA from 1 species